rnacentral:siRNA from 1 species
GGCCAACUAUGCUGCCGGACUGCG